UACGAGAGGCCCAAACGUUAUUCGGAUUUACUGGGCUUAAAGAGUUCGUAGGCGGUUCGGUAAGUCGGGUGUGAAAACUCUGGGCUCAACCCAGAGAGGCCACCCGAUACUGCCGUGACUGGAGUGCGGUAGGGGAGUGGGGAAUUCCUGGUGUAGCGGUGAAAUGCGCAGAUAUCAGGAGGAACACCAGUGGCGAAGGCGCCACUCUGGGCCGUAACUGACGCUGAGGAGCGAAAGCGUGGGUAGCAAACAGG
rnacentral:rRNA from 1 species